rnacentral:rRNA from 1 species
CCCUUGUACACACCGCCCGUCACACCAUGGGAGUCGUUUGCUCCAGAAGUGCCUACGCCAACCGCAAGGAGGCAGGGCCCCAAGGAGUGAACGGUAACUGGGGUG